UAUCCCAAAUCAACAUCCCUAAAAUUUGUCUCUCUCUCGAUUCUUUCUUCUCUCUGGUCUCUCCCUCUCGACGUGAAGAUAGCAGACGACGACAGAAGCAGAUCGACGCAGCGACCGGCGACCAUGGACCUCCGUUACUCCGGCGGCGUCUUCCUCUCUCGCGGUGAGCUCCGUCUCUCUCCCUCUCACGGCGGAGCUCCGGCAGCGCAGCAGGGAUGCGUGGCAGCAGCGAGGCUUUGAUUUUCUCGACGGUUGGGUAGCAGGUGACAGAUCCGGCGAGGUCUGUGCUCUUUCUUCUCCAGCGAGUCGCGGUGGUGACCGGCGGUAGACAGCAGUGUUGGUGGUGGUGGCUCGGCGGACCUUGGACGAAAGCAGAGAAGGAGCCAGAUUAAGAUGAAUUAAGACUUUGGAUUAAGAGGUUCCUUAUCGUGGACUAGCUUUUGAGUUGAGCCUAGAAUUGGAUGCUGCUUUGGAGCUUUAGUUGUGAGGACCUAGACUUGUGGCUAGUUGAGAGCACGGAGUAGAACUUGUGCCUGAGAAUUGAUUAUGGUAUAGAUGUAUAGAUUAGAAUUUGAUCUGUUGAUGUUAUAGUUGGUUCUGAAUGGUCCAAUGACAUGUGUAUGCGGAUAUAGAUAGAACCUUAUAGCCUGUGCGUUUGAGCUUAGUUUUAGCCCAAGCGUGGCAUAGCACUCCUUUGUUUAAGUUUUGGUUUCGCUUUUUGCUUUUAUAUUCAGUAUUUUAGUAAGAAAAUCUUUUAUUUUGAUAUUUA